UACGGAGGGUGCGAGCGUUAUCCGGAUUCACUGGGUUUAAAGGGUGCGUAGGUGGGCAGGUAAGUCAGUGGUGAAAUCUCCGGGCUUAACCCGGAAACUGCCAUUGAUACUAUCAGUCUUGAAUACCGUGGAGGUAAGCGGAAUAUGUCAUGCAGCGGUGAAAUGCUUAGAUAUGACAUAGAACACCAAUUGCGAAGGCAGCUUACUACCCGAAUAUUGACACUGAGGCACGAAAGCGUGGGGAUCAAACAGG
rnacentral:rRNA from 1 species